ACAGAGGGUGCAAGCGUUGUUCGGAAUUAUUGGGCGUAAAGCGCGUGUAGGCGGCUUGACAAGUCAAAUGUGAAAGCCCACGGCUCAACCGUGGAAGUGCGUUUGAAACUGUCGAGCUUGAGUGCCGGAGAGGAUGGCGGAAUUCCGCAAGUAGAGGUGAAAUUCGUAGAGAUGCGGGGGAACACCGGUGGCGAAGGCGGCCAUCUGGACGGCAACUGACGCUGAGACGCGAAAGCGUGGGGAGCAAACAGGA
rnacentral:rRNA from 1 species